ensembl:lncRNA
CUUGGGGUCCGCCUAGGGCCCCCGUGGGAAGAAGAGAAGACAGUGCUGGGCCUGGACACUCAUUCCGUCGUUUAUGGAUUCACUCAUUUCCGACCUCGACUGUUUCCUCCGUGCUGGCCUCAAGGCCCCCAGGCUGCGGUUCGCUGCCUGCAGGAAGCUCGUCGGAGGUCGCGACCAGAGCAGGCUGCGCAGUUCCGUCUCCAGGUGCUUCCAGUUCCCCCAUUACUCAUGACGCUGUCACACCACUCAGGGGCCCGUGGGAAAACAGAUGGCUUCCGCGAAUCAGGGAAAUUCCAGGAGGAUUAUUUACAAAGGGGACUGCUUACCAAAUGGGCAGAGCCACGGGGGUUAAGGGAACCAGCGGA